rnacentral:lncRNA from 1 species
CUACUCUUCAUAACAAACUCCUCCUGGCACUGAGCGGCCCACUGCCAGACGGUUACAAAUGUCGCUAUCAGUCUGUUGCACCCUCCGCCUAUAAAAGGGAGACCCCAGAUACGUUAUUUUUUAAGCUCUAAUUUCUAUCUCAAAACUCUGCUAAAAUUUUUGUUCGAGCACUCCAUUCUUGUUGAGGUAGAGAACUGACUUGAGCAUCGGAGAGUCUUGCUGGAGCACCCCCAACUCCGGUUUAGACUUCCUUUG